rnacentral:lncRNA from 1 species
UCGCUGAUGCAGCUUGUUUUAGCGCUGGGAUUUCGGAGCAUCGGCAGGUGCUGAAUCCACGACUAUUACAGGAAUACCUAAACUUUUCUUUACGCUGGGAACGCUAAUAACUGUAAAGUUCCAAGAGAGAACAAAGGGAUUAGAAAAUAACAAAUAAUAAAAUAAAUGAAUAAUAAGAGCAUAUACUAGAAGUUCGUCUUGGAGGGUUUUAGACUAUCAUGGGAAGAUAACCAAUUAACCACCAUUACAAGAAUACCAAGAUGCUGAUGAAAUCGGUUCACUUCUUGAUACACCAGUAUCAUUCUACAGUGUCUAAAUGCAAUAUGAAUCACACAGUGGAAUCAAUACCCUAAGCAAUAUGUAUUUCAUGAGGAAAAUCCAACUUCCGCCAAUGAAGUGGUGAAUAAAGGAAAAGAGAGAAUUAAUAUUAUAAAGGAAAUUUUGAAAUGACUUACCAAGUCCAUAAAUAAUUAAAAACAAAUUUGAUGUAAGCCAGAAACAUAAUAUAGCCUGCACAAGUAGAAACACGAUCUGAUAUUAAAGAAAAACUACAAACAAAUUAUAAAUAGAAUUCAUAAGUAAAAAGAUAAUCAAUAAUCUAUUACCUAUCCAUGUCUAUAUUAUAUAUAAACAUGCAUGGCAUAAGCCGUUGCUAAACUUUUUGCUUCACUGAAGAUACCCUAAAACAUUCUCUUAAAAAAAGGCCCUUAAACUCAACAAUAAUUACAAUAUUUCUGUUCAUAAUUAUGAAAAAUCUCUUGUUGGUAUAGAAAAUAGAAUAGCAGCUUUUUUCCCGUUUUAAAGUUUUCUAAUGACUAGAAUACAAUCUUACUUUGCUUUGUUUUGACUUUUGAGUCAAGAGAACAUUUUUUCAUGUUUCCUAGUAAGUUUCAAACAUUCAAUAAUUAUAUUAAUUUUCAAAUUAUUAGGACAUUUUCAAUAAAAAGGUACUCAUUAAGAAGUACAAAGGAUGAGACGCUAAAAAGAUUAUUUAUAAUUCUAUGAAAGUAAGUGUGAAGUGCCAUUUGAAAAAAAGUCUGACAAUAACAAUAACAAUAACAACAACAAUAAUAAUAAUAAAAAUAGAGACCACUAGUACCAUUUGCCAAAAGAAACUUUCGAUUGAUCUUCUGUCACACUAACAAAGUUGAUAGUCUCUAGGGCUCUUUCCAAGUUCAUAUAAUAAAUUAUCUCAACCACACAGAUGUGUGGCGGCACAGAGACGUAAUUCCUUCAAAAAAGAGCCAAGCCAAAAAAGUUUACCUUUGGAAGUUCCAUGGCACAAGGGACUACAAGAACAGAAACAGCCCUAGAGAGAUUUUUCAUGGUAGUACUGCUCUCCACAACCGUACCAUAAGAGGCUUCUUGAACAAUAUGCUGAGGAACAGGAUAAAAGUAUAAAACCAAUAUAAUAUGAACCGGAAUAAAACAAAGAACAACACUCUUGGUAACUCCAAAACUACGUUUCUCAUGACUUAUUAAGUAACUGGUCUAAAAGUGGAUUGAUGGCAUAGAACUUAAAACAGAAAUCUAAAACAAAUAUUGACAAGAAUUAAAGAAGCAACAAAGAAAGACAACAGAAAUGAAAGUUGAAAGAGAAGCUCUGGAAACAGGAUGCUGACCUCUACUAUUACCAAGAAUGACAAUGCAGUCAAAACAGGAAAAAUGUAUAAGGAAUCUGGAGUUGUGAGAUCAGUAAACCAGUAGGCUCCACCAUGCUUGAAUGAUGGCAUUUUUUCUGCCAUGUUUGAUAUCUGUCAUUAAACAAGAUAAUGUGAAUCAAUAGAAAAAUAUUAAGGAUCCUGAAUCCUCAGACUCUUAUAAUUAGGGAGAAUAUCAAAUUUAAAUUCUACUUACUGCACAGAAGAAGCUGAUCAAGAUAGAAGCUUGAAUAAAGAACCCCUGCAAUGAUGGAAAUCGACUCGCACCAAAUCUGCAUUAUUAGAAUCAAAGAAAAAAGGAUAUAAAGGGAAACAGAAGAUCUAAGAAGUUUAAUUUACUAGUUGGGCUCUUGAUAUAUACCGCAGUCCAGCAGUUGUGCUUGCUAGUUUAUAUGUUCAAAGAAGUUCUUAAAUAUUAAUAAUAACUAGUCCAACUUACAUUCUGGAGAGAGGGAUGGAAAAAAUAGAAAACAAAAAGUUUUAAAACAUAUACUUAUCUGCAAGCAAACCAAUGAUACACUUACUCCUUAAAUAGCUUCGCAAUUUGUUUCUGACCUUCCGCAACAGCUGCAGGAUCCGAUUCCUAAAAUCAUUAUUGCAAUCGCUCUUUUUAUCGAAAAGAGAAAUGUUAUGGCAACCACAACCAAAAUUGUUUCUAUGGUCCAAUUCCAUUUCAAAGGCUGAAUGAUGGUCGGAUUCCAAUCCAAAAGAACGACCUUAUUGCUCAUUUUCCAUCCUUUGUUCCCAUUCUAUCUACACCAUUUUAGUCCUUUAUGACCUCUUAUACAAAACACUUCAAAUAGUGGUAGAUGGAGAAAAAGAGUCUAGUUAUGCAGAGUUGUUUGUUUUGAUUGCCAAAGUAGCUCUCAAAAAAAAAAAAAAAUGACAGAACCCCAGGACAGAUACUUAAUAAUUGAACUAAAUCAAUCUUCAGAAAGUCUAUUGAGUAAAACAAAUAUUUGAAGAUAAAAAGCAAUGGAACUGUGAGGUUUCAUUAACUUUAACACACUUGCAUAUCUCAAAAAAUCCACCAUUACCUUGUCUUCCAUCUGUGCCUUUAUUUCAUCUACUUUAAGCCUCAAUACCUGCAUCAGAAAUGAAAAUGGUAAGCCUAGCAACGCAGUUGAUCAGAGCACGGAGAAAGCUAAUUUUGAUAUAACAAAUUAACAACUACGAUAGCUGCAGGGAUUAUUCUGAAUGCACCUAAAAAGAAACUGUGGGAAGCAAGGGAUUAAUUAAUCCUCAAACCCAUCUGAGGAGGGAUCUUAUGAGGAGUAAAGAGAAGAAAAGGGAAGCUGAAACCUCCUUCCCUCCAACUGUUCAAAACUUUAAAUCAAAUUUAUUCCAAAGAGGACAUAGAUGGCCAUUAUUUUUACCAAGAAAUAAAGAUGAAUGAAAGAAGCUAUGAGCAGCACAACGUACAUGGAAUCUGGAAUUAGCCUUAAGUUGAUUUACUAAGGAUGGAAUUGUUGCGAUUCGAACCAAGAAGGUUGUCAUAACUAUGGCUGCCCACCUGAAAGGAAGAAAGAGGAAAAAAGAAGCCAUUGGAGAACUGAAUUCCGUAACAUCUAUCUAGUAACAAUGUAAUGAUAAAAGAACAAUCUUGCUAAGACAAUCUCAAGAGCCCUAAAUUACAAAUAAACCUUUAAUUCUGGCAAAAGCUAAAAAAAUUCCACAUAAUGGCAACUUCAAAUACACAAUUAACCAAUUCUUAACGAUGAAAAACUACAAAAUUUUCUCAAAACUCAGCAAUAAUGUUUUACACUCACCAGUUCAUGCCAGUGAAGGAAUGCACAUAGUCGAUGGCAUACUGUACCAUCUUCACCGGUAAAAGAGAAUCAGCGGCGGCAAUCGCAACUUCGUCGACGACGGAACCAGCCUGAGAAGCUACGGUAUCAAUGGUCGUUUCGGCGAGCACAUCUGCCACGUCGAUCCCGAAAUUGAUCUUAUCGGAAUCAUCAUUCAACGUAGACAUGUAUCGGCACAAACUAUAUCCAGAAAACGUGUUAUUGAAAAUCGUUCUUCGUUUAGAAGAAGCACCGAACCCCGUUGAUCCCUUGAGGAAGCUCCCGAAGGACCGCGCUUGGAUCAAACUAGUUAUUGCCGCUGGAACCGGUUUUUCUUGUUGCCGUUGGUUGGGUUCGUCGAUGGUGUGGUGGAGAACGUAGCUGAAAGAAGGGCGGAAGUUGCAGUUUGAGAGGUUGGUUCUUCGCAGGAGGUAGCGUCGAUAAGCCAUUGGUGAGAACUGAAAGGAGGUGAGAAUUAGGUUAAAGCAUGAACAAGCGUAGAACGAAAUUGAGCAAUUCAGAACGUAGGAAUGUUGAUAUGUUUGGCAUGAAACGUGAUUGGUGGAAGGUGGCGUUACGGCGUCACUUGAAUUUGAGUACGGUGGAUCAGUGCAGCUGCGGGGUGGCAGAGCCUAAUGCUGCUGGACUGCUGUUUACUGGUAGUGGUAGCUCAGCGUUUGUUUCUCCGGCUCAAAAACGCUAUCGUUUCAUAUUUUGGAGGUUUUUUUUUUCUAAAUUUACUUAAAAAUAAAAGAUGUUUUUAUAUUAACUUUUAUAUUAACGCAAAAGCUUACACAGACAAAUUUUUAAUUUAAAACUAAUACACCAAUAAAUUAUUAGAUUUAGUUAAAAAUGGGUUUUAUAAGUAUUUGUCACACAACAAGUAAGAUUUUUUUUAUAUACUCAAUGUAUUAAACUUUUUUCUUUUAAGACAUUCUUUUAUCUUUUUAUUGUUUUUAACUAGUAUCUUCUNNNNNNNNNNNNNNNNNNNNNNNNNUUAUCUUCUGUUUAAUUUAAAAAAAAAAAGUAUAUUUUGUCAAAAUAAAUUGAUGACCAAUACUUUUCUUUUAUAAUCUAUUUUGCAUUUAAAUUAAUGGCAACCAAAUACCUAUUUUUAUAUUUAGAAUGUUAGCUCUAGCAUUUCUUAAAAAAAAUAAAAAUGAUUAUAAAAGUGGGAAAAAUCAAAUUUUAAUAUUUUAUAAAAAAAUAAAAAAGACUGAUUUUUAAAGAGUUAUAAAACACUAAUUUUCAAUAUUCUGACGUCGAAAAGUUAGCCAUAACAUACACAAAUCAUAGAUGUUGCAUAUAGGGAUGGCAAAAUUUCCCGAGAUGCGGGGAUCCCUGCGGGGACUGCCUCGAAUGGAGAUUUGAUUGUGGAGAAUUUUUUUCGCGAAGAUGAGGAUGGAGGACAAAAUUCCCCCGAAGUAGGCGCGGGGACCCGAGCGGGGAUCCCCACCCCGUUCCCGCUAUUCCCCGAAAUUUAUAAACUCCUUAAAUUAUUCUUAAUAGUUUAUUUCUCAUACAUGUUUUUUAGUCAUUUCUCACACACAUAUAUAUAGAAACACAAAACUCCUAAUCUUUAUUUGCAUAACUCCUCUUCAAUUCAGAGAUCUUAAGGUUGUCCAUAUUCCAUUCAACCUCUCUGCAGUCACCCCCUCGUCACCUUUCUCAUCGCAUCGUCACACCUCACCGUGUCAUCAACCUUACCGCGUCGUAAUUUCUAUUUGCGGCGUUCCUUUUCGUAACUCUGCCAUCGUGUCUAUUCUCCUCUCUGUUGCCGCGUCUCCUAUCUCGUCCACUGCUUUUUCCUUUGGCUCGUCGUUGCGUUCCCCGCGUUAUUUCGAAAGAAGUCACCGUCGUGUCAUUUAGACUUUUUGUAUAAAAUCUUGCAGUUUUUGUAUAAGAUAGAUACUUGUAGCUCUAUUCAUAUAGAAAUUAAUAAUUAAUUAGAACUAUUAUGUAGAUGGAAAAUGGGGUCCUCGCGGGGAAUGGGACCCCGUGGGAAAUGGGGAUGGGGAACAAAUAUGAGGGCGGGGACGGGGAGCAGGGAGGCAUCCCCCGCCCCCGCCCUGCCCGAUUGACAUCCCUAGUUGCAUUUUAUAUAUCGUGUUCAAAUAAUUAAUUUAAGGACUAUGUUAUGUGUAUAUUAAAGUCAAUCACCAGUAUAAAAUACUUGUUAGAAUAUAAAUAUACAUUAAAAAUAAAUUAAAUUACACAAAUAUUUAUACACAAAUACAUUGAUGACUAAUUUAGUGUACAAAUAGUAUUUUUGUUAAUUUAAAUAUCUCAGUGAUAGGGGUGUUCGCGGUGCAGUUUGAUUCGGUUUUAAGGAAAAAAGUCAUCCGAUCCGAACGCUUAACCUAUGUGCGGUGCGGUUUGGAUUGGAUGGAAUUUUUUUGGAAUCUGAUCCAAUCCGAUCCAAUUACAAGCGGUUUGGAUUGCGAUUUUUAAAUAAAAAAAAUUAAAUACAUAUAACAAGUCUCAAUAUCAAAUUUUAAAUAAUCAACAAUGACAUAACAAGUCUUAACAAUAUCUUAAAAAGCCAACGAUAACAUAAUAAUAGAAAUAACAUAAAAUAUUUAUUAAAUAAUAAUAAUACAUGAAUAAUAGAAAAAUGUAUAACAAAUUGAACAUAUUAUAAGUAUAAUUGUAAAUAUAAUAAUAAAAUAAUAAUAUUAUAGCACAUUGUGCGGUUUGGAUUGGAUUGGAUCGGUUAUGAAAAGUAGAUCCAAAAUCCGAUCCAAUCCAGCUGUUUGCAAAAAAUAAAAUCCAAUCAAAUACGAAUUAGUGCGGUUUUAAUCGAUUUUCGAUUUGAAUCGAAUUGGAUGAGCGGUUUAAUUUAGAUCGGUUUGAAUUUGAACACCACUACUCAGUGACACACAUUUGCAAAUUCGAGCCAUCGCUUAUUUUGCGGGCAUUCAGGCAUCAUCAAACUUAGAUUAUCCAUAAAAAGAGUGUAUUCUGUAUAGAUAUUCAUUAAGCAAAAGUUCAAACUUCCAACUUCUCCGCCAACGAGCCAUAGCUCAGAUGGCAUAUGUCCUUUCUCCCUACCUAGAAGUUUUGGAUUCGAACCUAGAGGUUUUGGAUUUGAAUCUCACUUGGUUUAAAAAAAACUUCAUUCUUCGAAGAAGAAAAAUUUGCUCACUUGAUGAUAAAAUGGAGCAUAGAUUUUCACUGUAUUAAUUCUCUAAGCUUCUGACUCUUAAGCCUUUGACUGAUGGAUACAGAAGAAAAAACCCUAUCAUUUAAAUGUCUCGAUGUUCUACCGGUAAAUGAUCUUUCAAAUAUGUCGCUGAUGCAGCUUGUUUUAGCGCUGGGAUUUUGGAGCAUCGGCAGGUGCUGAAUCCACGACUAUUACAGGAAUACCUAAACUUUUCUUUACGCUGGGAACGCUAAUAACUGUAAAGUUCCAAGAGAGAACAAAGGGAUUAGAAAAUAACAAAUAAUAAACUAAAUGAUUAAUAAGAGCAUAUACUAGAAGUUUGAAAAUCGAAAUCAAAAUCCUGAUGUAGGCU